UCCGUAGGUGGAUAAUUAAGUCAGAGGUGAAAGUUUGCAGCUCAACUGUAAAAUUGCCUUUGAUACUGGUUAUCUUGAAUUAUUGUGAAGUGGUUAGAAUAUGUAGUGUAGCGGUGAAAUGCAUGGAUAUUACAUAGAAUACCAAUUGCGAAGGCAGAUCACUAACAAUAUAUUGACACUGAUGGACGAAAGCGUGGGGAGCGAACAGGAUUAGAUACCCUGGUAGUCC
rnacentral:rRNA from 1 species